CUAAAAACUGGUAUUUAUGUUCACUUUAACCAAAAACUUUCCUACACUGUCAUUUAAUGUUGACUUUCCUGCAACUUCCUUUUUUCCAGUUUGAUAAUUUCACUCUCUCCUGACUUCUAAGGCUCACCAAAAUAACCUCCCAGCACCAUGCUCACACUCUGAGAUGAGAAAAAGUGUUAGAAAAGUGCGGGUGGGAUGAAUGCUAAGAAGGUUCUAAUGAGAAUAUCUGUUUUCAAGUGGCUGUUUGCCUGAUACUGACAUUUUUUUAUUCUUAUUCUGUGUUAUCCUUCAGUCUUUGCUAUACAAAGCCUUUCUUGCUUUCUUCCUCUCCCAGGCUCCUGGCACAAAUGAGAGGAGCGAUUAAAUCCUUGAGCAGAAACAGUCAUAAAAUGUGGUGGAGAAAGGCUCCACAUCUGACAGAAGAUAGUUUCAUCUUCUUCUGAGGAAAGCUGAGGGACUGAAAUAUGGAAAUGCCACCAAGUAGGUGCCUGAAGGUGUCAAAUACACAUUCCUGAAAAUGUGGUACAUCGCGAUGCCGGUAAUACACACUGGUAAUACUCCUUUCUGCUUUUUGGAUGCUGUCCACUUCUGAGCAUCAGGGGGAGAUGAGAAUUUCAGAGAAAGCAAUGAAGAGAGGGAGGCAGGGAGGGAAAGUUUUCCCUACCCUCAGCAGCCAGAGUACGAAGUGAAGACCGUGGAGCGAGCAGGAGCCUUUACUGCGCUCACCUGACCUCAGCCCAGACCAGGGGAUGGAGGGUUCUGUGGCUGGGCAGAGGCAGGACAGCCCUGGAAAGGGCGUGGCCCUGAGUCAGCCCCCCAGGUUACCUUG